AAGGAAAAAUGAAUAAUAAGAACAGUCCAGAAAUAAGUAGAUGAUGACACAAAAGAGACCAAUUUUCCUAUUUUAAACCAUUUUUUAGAAGAAUUUGUUUAGUAAGUUGUGAAUACUGCUUGCUAGGAUUCACGUGAAGAACAAAAGACAGGUGAGACAAGGAGGUAGAACAUUGUCUCUUAUUCCAUAAGGAUCACUGUAUUGGCUUUAUCCUCAAAAACACUUUGCAGGCUUCUGAAGGGAUGCACACACUCAAAGCAAACAGCAGGAAGCUAAGCUCAGAUGACAUUGUGGACAUGGUCCUGGGCAAUCUGCUCCAGGUGUCCCUGUUUAAGCAGGGUUUGGACCACAUGAUCUCCAAAGAUCCUCGCCAUCCUCAAUCAUUCUAUGGUCUUGUGACUUCUGAACCUGGAACCAGGGCAACAGAGAAAACAGUUGGAUUACUUUUACUAUUCUGUUUCUCUGCAUGUUAACUAUAGCUAUUGUUUAUGCUUGAGCUUAAAAGAAAUUUCCUUUUUGUGAUGAGUAGUGGGAAAUGGAGACCUGCUGGAAUGUGGAAGUGGAGAAAGUCAUUUGGAAAUGUUGUGGGAGAAAACUCACCAUCUGCUCACCGCAUUUUAACUGUGAUCUUUUCACUCUUUUAAAGGAAUGUUACAAUUAAGGUUUGAAAGAUCUUAGACUGAGUCUUUUAAGCAGUUUUCCUCACAAGAUUCCCAUUACUAACUAAAUGGCAUUUUAUUGCUUGUGUUGUUUUGAUGAUCAGACCCUUAUAAAAAUGGAUUUCAAGAAUAAGGCAAUAUCUGUAGAGGUCAAGAUCAAGAAACAUCUUUAUCUCUGAAUUUAAGAAUUCAUGUCUAAGUAAACUGAACAUCUGAGGAAAGCAAGUCGAUUUUAACAUUUAUCUAGGAGAUAAUAAACCCUGAUGUUCUGCAGACAGUACCAUGCUCUUGGACCUAAUCAGCACUAUCUGGGAAACCUUCCAUAAACCCUAGCUUGGAGCUUUGUGGCUAAUUUUUAUCCAGAUCUGCUGGGUAAUGUUGCUGAGGCCUGUUCAGAAGGAAACAGAAUGCCAGUUCUUCUGAGGCAGCCAGAUGCUGCACAUCCCUUCUGAACUGAAAACUGAGCCAGAAUAUAGCAGCUGCUCCCUAAAGGACAGAGAAAUCACUAAUAAAUACAAAGUCUCCCACUAGAAAUGGGGACAAUCUUGUUGAAG
ensembl:lncRNA